GGGAGAGUUGCCAAACUUAUCUACCACCCUAGCCAAACUCGAUCCUUGCCACCCAAAGCCAAUAUUUUCUCUCGUCUAUCUCUCCUCCUUGUAACUUGGUGGUGCACAUUAGCAUCUGCCACCGCUGCCAAUAGUGCCGGUGCAGUGUGCACCCCUUCCCCUUUCUCCCCGUGGCCGAAAUGGGGAAGAGACCGCCAUCCUCCGAAGACAUGGAGAAGGGACGUGAAAAGGCUAGACCUUCCAUGCCUCCGCCACACUUAUGCCCCCCACCACCAAAGCCAUGGGUGCCGUGGCUUGUGCCAAUCAUAUUUGUGGCCAAUGUAGCCGUGUUCAUUUACACCAUGUACGUCAAUGACUGUCCAUCAAUAGACGAGAAUAAGUGUAUUCUUCCUUCUUUGAAGAGGUUCUCUUUCCAACCCUUCAAAGAAAACCCUCUCCUUGGUCCUGCCGGACUCACUCUAAAAAAACUAGGAGCCCUUGAAAGGCAACUAGUGGUGGAAGAGGGCGAAGGAUGGCGCCUCUUGUCUUGCAUGUGGCUUCAUGCGGGAGUCGUUCACUUACUUGCCAAUAUGAUGAGCCUUUUAUUCAUAGGAAUCCGACUUGAGCAGGAAUUUGGAUUUAUCAGAAUAGGACUCUUGUAUGUGCUUGCUGGAUUAGGUGGAAGUUUAGGAUCGACUAUGCAUCUUAUGAGAACCACAAGCCCGACUAUAUCAGUUGGUGCAUCCGGAGCACUUUUUGGAUUGUUGGGAGCCAUGCUUUCUGAGCUUCUAAUAAACUGGACAAUCUACGUAAAUAAGUGCACAGCGCUCCUGAUACUCAUUGUCGUCAUUGCCCUGAAUAUGGCUGUCGGGUUUCUACCUAAAGUGGACAAUUCAGCUCAUAUAGGAGGAUUCCUUGCAGGAUUUUUCCUUGGCUUUAUUAUUCUUGUUCGUCCUCAAUACGGUUAUAUACGCCGUAAGCAUCUUCCAUCAACCUAUGAGGGCAAACAUAAACCUAGGCACAAGGGCUAUCAAUAUGUGCUAGGGAUCAGUGCUCUUGUUAUCUUAAUUCUUGGAUACACAUAUGGCUUUGGUAAGCUAUAUGGUCUUAAGGCACUGAAAAAUCUGCCUUAAGUUCUAGAAAUCGAAUUAAUAUUCUUGAGAACUCAACUGCCUACUCAAGAAUUUCAGGGCUGUAAGAAAGACAUAAAUACCUAUAUGGUAUAACCCCAAAUAGACUCAAAACACACUUGUGGGUGUGCAUGUGCGCUCACUUGACCACAAAAAGGGGACCGACAAAGAGAUUUUAGCACGGGAGAGGAACAGAGUAUAAGCAAAGACAGCAGGGAGUCUUCUAGGAUAAGGAGGAGUAGAUGAAGACAAUGCUAUGUUUUAGUCAAGGUAGCAAUGUAGAUGAGUUCUGUAAUUUCUAUUUCAGAAUUUUUCUGCAUUUUGAUUAAACACCCCAAGCAUUGUUGAUGGAAGAUGAGUUACUCUCCCAAUUCACAUGUACACUGUACUUCUAGAUGUCUUGUUAAAAUUAAACUAUAUUGUAAUCAACUUGAGAAAGUCAAUUAGACAACUCUGAAGGAAAUUUUACUCUAUUUAAUAAAAGCAAAACUUAGCUUACAAAACCAAAA